rnacentral:rRNA from 1 species
GCAGGCCUACGGGGCGCAGCAGUGGGGAAUAUUGGGCAAUGGGCGCAAGCCUGACCCAGCAACGCCGCGUGAAGGAAGAAGGCUUUCGGGUUGUAAACUUCUUUUCUCAGGGACGAAGAAAGUGACGGUACCUGAGGAAUAAGCCACGGCUAACUACGUGCCAGCAGCCGCGGUAAUACGUAGGUGGCAAACGUUAUCCGGAUUUAUUGGGUGUAAAGGGCGUGUAGGCGGGAACGCAAGUCAGAUGUGAAAACUCAGG